CGCCCUCCCUCCGCCGCCACUCAGACUCCGUACGGGACGGCGAGCGAGUAGGAAUAUUGCACAAGUACGGGGGAAACCCGUAGAGUGCAGCGACGCCGCGUGAGUGAUGAAGGACGUUCGGUUUGUAAAGCUCUGUUCUUAGGGAAUAAAAAAUAGAAUGUACCUGAGGAGAAAGCACCGGCUAACUUCGUGCCAGCAGCCGCGGUAAUAC
rnacentral:rRNA from 1 species